UCCAUCGUGAGUUGGAAUCUGAAGGAAGCUGUCGGCAAACAUCUGGCCUGACGAACAGAAACUUGAUAUAAGGCUGGCGGGCAUGGAUAAGACUACUGAACAAGUCAAAGUCCGAUAGCUAUACGGAAAUGCCCUAAGUAAAUCAAGCAGGUAUAAGAUGGAAAGAGCAUGUC
rfam:Bacteroides salanitronis DSM 18170, complete genome.